CUCUUCUUCGUGCAGUUUCUUGAUUAUGAGAGCGCAAACCUCACCCAGGUUCAAAUCUCAGACAGGACUCUUCCCAGGUAGCUCAUCUCUUUUGUAGUCUUUACAGACACGAUCGGUACAAUUUAAAAAUAAUCACUUUUUCCGGACAUCUGAUUGUCACUUUUUACUGUUUCAUCUUCUCCAGGCAUGCUGAAGCGCACCAAAUACAGUCGCCUGCGCAACGAUUCGCUGACGUCCCUGGAGGAUCGGCCCCAAAGAAUGCGGCCCUCAAAGAGGGACCUUUGCCUCGACUCUGAUUUUGCACAGCUGGAUCCCGGAGCGCCGACGCACCACGGGCCGUCCACCCUGAGGGACUUCAUCCCCCGCGUGGCCAACAUCCGACUGCAAAGUCCAAUUUCCCUGCGGGGCCUGAGGGGAAAGACAAACUCAGACCGGGACAGAACCAUUAAUGGACACACGGACAGACCCUCAUGGGGCUCGGGGCCUGAUCAGAGAUGUUGUAGCCAACCGUCCCUCAAUGUGCCCCCAUCCACCGGCCUGACUCACUCCGCUCUGCGCUGCACAAAAAGACCAAUCACCCUGCAUCGGAUUACCAGCCUCCCCUGGACCCCCGAGUGUCCUCACUGCUCACAGCACAGACACAGUCUGUGCCUUUUGAAGACUUCCCCAGCAGCUGACGACUGUACAGUGGUGGGGACGGCGAGCAGGAAGGUUCACCAUCACAUCAAGUACAUGGGUAGUGUGGAAGUGACCCAGUCCAUGAGAACCCUCCACUUUGAUAUGAGAAUGAAAGUCACACGAGAGGCCAUCAGCAGACUGUGUGAGAGGACAUCAGCAGUGAAAACUAAAAGGGU
rnacentral:lncRNA from 1 species